CGAGGGUAGCAGAGAUGCCGGAUACCAGCUGCCCUUUUGGUUGCCAAUAAGCGGCCACAUGACUCCCCAUGAAAGGAUGGCUCCGAGGAGGAGAGAGAUGUUCACAAUGUAAGGGCAUAUCAUCCCAACUCCCACAUAAGUAGCAGAGAAAUCAAAGUAGAACCUGUUGUCAUAGGCUUUGAGGCCCAAUGUAGGGAAAGCUGUGAAGCCACAGUCGCUGCCGGAAGUAUAGAACCACUGGAAAAAUCCCCAUAGGAAACUACCGGCGAAGAACUUG
rnacentral:misc_RNA from 1 species